rnacentral:tRNA from 1 species
CUCUGUAGCUCAGUUGGAUUAGAGCAAUGGUCUUCGAAACCAUGUGUCGGGGGUUCGAAUCCCUCCAGGG